rnacentral:piRNA from 1 species
UGCAAUAGGCCGAAGUGCUAAAACUGUCC